UUCACGGAGAGUUUGAUCCUGGCUCAGGACGAACGCUGGCGGCGUGCUUAACACAUGCAAGUCGAACGAUGAACCACUUCGGUGGGGAUUAGUGGCGAACGGGUGAGUAACACGUGGGCAAUCUGCCCUGCACUCUGGGACAAGCCCUGGAAACGGGGUCUAAUACCGGAUACAACCACUAGGGGCAUCUCUUGGUGGUGGAAAGCUCCGGCGGUGCAGGAUGAGCCCGCGGCCUAUCAGCUUGUUGGUGAGGUAAUGGCUCACCAAGGCGACGACGGGUAGCCGGCCUGAGAGGGCGACCGGCCACACUGGGACUGAGACACGGCC
rnacentral:ncRNA from 1 species